GGAGAAAUGGCAGAGUGGUCURUUGUGACGAUCUCGAAAAUUGUUUUAGCUCCGGUUAACGAGGGUUCGAAUCCCUCUUUCUCCA
rnacentral:tRNA from 1 species